rfam:Nicotiana sylvestris Nsyl_contig14385, whole genome shotgun sequence.
UCCCCCCGCCUUCGGAUACAUUUGAAAUUGGAAUGAUAAAGAGAGAUUAGCAUGGUACCUACGCAAGGAUGACAUACACAAAUUGAGAAAUGGUCCCCUUCUUC